GACCCUUCGGGAGCUUGUACAGGUGCUGCAUGGCUGUCGUCAGCUCGUGUCGUGAGAUGUCGGUUAAGUCCGCUAACGAGCGCAACCCUCGCUGUGUGUUACAAGUGUCACACGGAACUGCCGGUCAUAAACCGGAGGAAGGUGGGGAUGACGUCAAGUCAGCAUGGCCUUUAUAUCCUGGGCUACACGACACGCUACAAUGGGAAGGGACAAUAGGUUGCGAAGCCGCGAGGCGGAGCCAAUCCAGCAAAACUUCCCUCAGUUCAGAUUGCAGGCUGCAACUCGCCUGCAUGAAGUUGGAGUUGCUAGUAAACGCAGGUCAGCCAUACUGCGUUGAAUACGUUCCCGGGGCUU
rnacentral:rRNA from 1 species